GAUGAACGCUGGCGGCGUGCCUAAUACAUGCAAGUCGAACGAAACUUCUUUAUGAUUGAGUGCUUGCACUCACCGGUAAAGGGUUGAGUGACGAACGGAUGAGUAACAUGUGGGAAACCUGCCCAAAAGAGGGGGAUAACACUAGGAAACAGGUUCUAAUACAGCAUAACCAUAGUUACCGCAUGACAACUAUGUUGAAGGUGGUUGUUCUAUCCCCUCUGGAUGGGCCCGUGGCGCAUUAGCUAGUUGGUAGGGUAAAGGCUUACCAAGGCAAUGAUGCGUAGCCGAAUUGAGAGGUUGAUCGGCCACACUGGAACUGAGACACGGCCCAGACUCCUACGGGAGGCAGCAGUAGGGAAUCUUCCACAAUGGGCGAAAGCCUGAUGGAGCAACGCCGCGUGGGUGAAGAAGGUCUUCGGAUCGUAAAACCCUGUUGUUAGAGAAGAAAGUGCGUGAGAGUAACUGUUCACGUCUUGACGGUAUCUAACCAGAAAGCCACGGCUAACUACGUG
rnacentral:rRNA from 1 species